rnacentral:rRNA from 1 species
CAGUAGCCGCGGUAAUACGAAGGGGGCUAGCGUUGUUCGGAUUAACUGGGCGUAAAGGGUGCGUAGGCGGGUCUUUAAGUCAGAGGUGAAAUCCCAAGGCUCAACCUUGGAACUGCCUUUGAUACUGGGGAUCUUGAGUCCGGGAGAGGUGAGUGGAACUGCGAGUGUAGAGGUGAAAUUCGUAGAUAUUCGCAAGAACACCAGUGGCGAAGGCGGCUCACUGGCCCGGAACUGACGCUGAGGCACGAAAGCGUGGGGAGCAAACAGGAUUAGAUACCCCAGUAGUCCCUGUCUCUUAUAC